UACAGAGGUGGCAAGCGUUGUUCGGAAUUACUGGGCGUAAAGGGCGCGUAGGCGGCCUUCUAAGUCAGACGUGAAAUCCCCAGGCUUAACUUGGGAACUGCGUCUGAUACUGGAAGGCUUGAGUGCGGGAGAGGGAUGUGGAAUUCCAGGUGUAGCGGUGAAAUGCGCAGAUAUCAGGAGGAACACCAGUGGCGAAGGCGCCGCUCUGGGCCGUAACUGACGCUGAGAAGCGAAAGCGUGGGGAGCAAACAGG
rnacentral:rRNA from 1 species